CGGCGGACGGGUGAGUAACACGUGGGUAACCUGCCUGUAAGACUGGGAUAACUCCGGGAAACCGGGGCUAAUACCGGAUGGUUGUUUGAACCGCAUGGUUCAAACAUAAAAGGUGGCUUCGGCUACCACUUACAGAUGGACCCGCGGCGCAUUAGCUAGUUGGUGAGGUAACGGCUCACCAAGGCAACGAUGCGUAGCCGACCUGAGAGGGUGAUCGGCCACACUGGGACUGAGACACGGCCCAGACUCCUACGGGAGGCAGCAGUAGGGAAUCUUCCGCAAUGGACGAAAGUCUGACGGAGCAACGCCGCGUGAGUGAUGAAAGUUUUCGGAUCGUAAAGCUCUGUUGUUAGGGAAGAACAGGUACCGUUCGAAUAGGGGGGUAC
rnacentral:rRNA from 1 species